AAACAUAAUAAUUGUAUCUUAAAACACUUCAAAACACUUAUAGACCAUGAUUAAAAAUGGGUAAAAUAUAUGGUCUAUCAACUCCCCCAGACUUACCCUUUUGCUUGUCCUCAAGCAAAACAUACAGGCAGUCUCUCUGAAAGAGGUUUUGAAAACAGCAGGGACUCACAUGAUUUAAAACUUAGAAUCAUUACCUCUACAAUAUUGCAAUCCACAUCUAAGAAGUCCUAAUCACAGAAGCACAUUAUACAAUAUCCUAGCUUAGCAAUUAAAUUCACCUAGCCAACAUCUUAGCAAAUCAUGUCUGACAUUCCUCUCUACCAACCUCAUUUCUUAACAUAAAUGAAUGUGUAUGCUUUACCUUGGGAGUAUCGAUCACAAGACACAUGGACUCUUACCCCAACAGGUAUCUGAGUAAACAGGUAGUCUUGUUCUGGUUUCUUUUACUAUAUAUCUCCCUUCUCUGCAUCCUUUUUAUCUCAAUUCCAAUGAACAAAGAUGCUGAUGCAGUCCAUCUUAUUCACCUUCUUUUCGAUUUUUUUAUUAUUAUUAUUAUUUGUUUUUUCCUUUUUCUUUUUCUUUUCUUGACAAAGUGUAGGCGAAUAAUGGGGUCAUCGGUAAUGUACCUACCCCUCGCUUCCAACAAUGUGUGAUCAUUCUAUUAGAGUAGAAUAAUGGGAUCAUCGGUAAUGUACCUACCCCUCUAAACCGCAAGAAAUCAUCUCAAUCUUUUAUUUUAUUUUAUUAGGAUGCCAAAGGGAGGAGAUAAGGAAACCAAAAUCACUCAGACUUUUACCUUUCAGACCUGAAGGAGGAAUCCGAUCCAGUGUAUACCAAGCCCCAAGACAAGCAGUUAAGUCAAAUUAGGUUGGAGGUCAGCUUCGGUUCCUUCAAACAAUCUCAGCAAGUGUGAACAUAGUUGAUAGGUUGAUCCACUUUAGUAUCUUUAGUACUAUCUACAAUCAGUAAGUCUAGAAUGGUGCUAAAGAGUGGUUAGAUAACAAGCAUGAAUCUAAUAAGUUCAUUAUCCCCUUCUUGACUCAAUAAAAACAGUUUUUGAAAAUAUUUUAAAUAAGACUCAUAAAGAUAGAUAAACGUUAGUAAUCCCCCCCAGACUUAAAUUAUACUGUCCCCAGUGUAACACAUUCGGUGGUAAGGUGAAAAUUAUAAAGCAUAAGUACAAAAUUUAACAAGUAAGAACGAUAACCUGCUCAGUAUCGAUCGAUACAAUGAAGUGACAAUCGAUCGUUGUUGAUGAAGCGUUGUCGAUCAAUAUCGUGAUAGUCUCAUCAGUCGAUGAUUUGAGCAAUCGUCUACAUGGAUCUGUUUUUUUUUUUUUUUAUAACUAAAACACAAUAUCAGUAGAACCUCCCCCAGACUUAGAUAACGUUGUGACCAGUGUAUAUCCAGUCGGAGUUAUGGUGUAAAUAAAUCAUAAGUACUCAAUUCAACAAGUUAGAAUGAUAUACCUGACCGAAAUGGAUGUCGAUCGAUGUAAACGUGUUGUCAUCGGUCGUGGAAGAUGUAGCAAUGUCGAUCGAUAUCGACUUGUUCUCGUCGGUCGAUAUCAUGGCAAUCGUUUACUUGGGUCCCUGUUCUAAACAUCUAACUUUGAUGUGAAUAUUGACCAACACAGUUAAGUGGCGAUCGAUACCCUUGAUACUCUGUCGAUCGAUGCUAGCUAGUCAUCGUCGAUUUCUAUGGAAACUCGUCUUCCUCAGAACUUUUCCUUGUACCUAACAUAAAUAACUAAUAAAACUAAUUAACUAAUAAUAACUUUUGUUUUUUUUUUUCCGAUGAACAGUAACUCCCGAUUUUCUGUAACAAUGUCGGUCGAUGUUUCUGCUACAGUGUCGCUCGAUUUCUUGCUACAGUGCGUUUGCUACAGUACCGUCGUUACUGUUCACACACUUUUUUUUUACCUGAAAUCAUUAGAAAACAAGAAAAAUCAGUAAUAAAUGAAAAUUAAACCACAUGUAAAACAAACCUAACAGUGGGUUGCCUCCCACUUAGCGCUUAUUUUUAGUCAUUAGCUUUACUUCUGGAGAUCUGUUUCAGUCUGGAUGAGAAUGAGAACUUGCUCCAAAUCAAGUCUCAAUAUCUACUCUUUGAAACUUUAUCAUUCUUGUGUGAAAGCCUCCUCCAUAUACCCUUCUCCUUUGUCUAUCAUUUCAGCAAUAAAGAGUGCUUUAAGUUUUGCAUAUGGAUGUGAAAAGCAUUUGCUGCGUAUUCUGGGUUUUCUGACAUUAUCUAAGAAGUAAAGAGUCAAUGGUAAUUGAGAACCUCCUUUGGUUCGUUUCCGCUUCUUCCAAUUUCUCCCCUUCUUUCCCACAGACUUGUGUAAUCUCACUCUGGAUUUCCUGGUAUCAUCUGAGAAGUGAGGAAUCAAUGAUAUCUGAGAACCUUCAUUGAUUCUCAUUUUCUUCUUCCAGUUCCUCCACUUCGUUUCCCCAGACUUGUCUGAAUGCGUGGUGGUAUCUCCAUAAAAAAUAUUUUCACACAAUUCAUAUUCAUUCUGCUCUGAUUCGCGUCUGGUGUCGAUCGAUGGUAUCUGAUCGGUAUCGAUCGAUGGUAUCUGAUCGUUAUCGAUCGAUGAUGAAGUGUUAGUGUCGAUCAAUUUUGUUCUGUUGAUGUCGCUCGUUGGUACUUCUGCUGGGCAGUUAUCUACUUCAUCUCUAAAUCGCAGCCCUCUCUGAUAAGCUUCUACAUGAUGUUGAUCAUUCAAUACCUCAAUGUAAGAACUCAGAUACACACCUUUAUCUAGUGGGAUAGGAGAUUCAACUUCAAACACUGCACAUGGAACCAUAAACUUCACAGGAUCAUGUAUCCUCUUCACUCUUUUGCAAAUCCCAACAGCUUCUUCUUCGCAUAGAGGUGUUUUUAGAUUUUUGGGGACAGCAAGGUGUGAGGUUCCAGACGUGUGUUCUUUUCUUCCAACCAGUUCUGGUUUAAUCAUGUAUCCUGAUAGUUCAUCCAAACAUGGGUGUGGAUCGAUGCAAUAGGGUGGGUAUCGAGCGAUACAGUCGUGUGUAUGUUGAUUGAUGUUAGACGGCGACUGUAGAUCGAUGUCGUAGGGUGGGAGUCGAUCGAUCUCAUCAGGUUUAUGUCGGUCGAUGUCGUCAGCCUUUAAGGAAUUUUCCAGACCUUUUCCCGAAGUGGGAUGAUCAUCAAGCUUCUGUCGAAGCCAUUCUUCCAACUCCAGAAAGUCUUUCAGAGUGACUUUGUCGACAUCUGAGGUAAGAUCACAGUUUGAUUCAUCGAUGCUCUCCUGUGUCGAGUUUGCAAUUUCCUGAGGACAACUCGAUCUUUCAGGGAUUUCAAGUGGAAUCGAUCGAUGACAAAAGUCUGUGUCGAUCAUUUCUGAGGUACUGGGGUCGAUCAAUCUUACGGUUGGGAUGUCGAUCGAUGUUGAGGUCGGAGUGUCGAUCGGUUCUAAGCUCAUGUCACUAAUAUCGACUUCUUCUAUUCUGCUCAGCUCUCCAGACACAUGUUGUUCAUCAUCUUUCACCAUAUAUUCUUUCAUAGAUCUCAUCUCAAUCUCUAGACUUGCUGCAGCAUCAUAGAGAAACUUGUUGACGAAAGCGUUUGCAAUGUCAUUCCAAGCAUUGAGAAAUCCUGGUGGUAGCUUCUUCAACCAAUGAGCUGCAUCCCCAGCAAGAGAGUAUGGGAAUAAUUUGCAUAAAUAGUAGUCUUCAGAGACUCCAUUGCAUGUAAUGGUCGAGGCUAGAUCUUUGAAUGAUUUGAGGUGGUUAAUGGGAUCUUCAUGAGGAAGACCAUGAAAGGGAUGCUUACCCACAAGAGAGAUAUAUGCAGGGUUUAGCUCCAGGACAGUAUUCUGAAGUGCUGAACGAUGCAAUGCAGACCUUUUAGCAUAGGCAUCCUCAGGACUGUUAUAGUCUCUAAUUGCCUUCGAUCGUCCAGUCCUAACAUACAUAGUGGUAGCAUCAGGGAUUGUAGAAGGUAUCGAUCGAUGACAAAUAUAUGUAUCAAUCGUUUCUGAAGUGCAGAUAUUGAUCGAUUCUGAGUUACUACUGUCGAUCGAUGCUGAAGUUGGAUCUUUUGUAUCAGCUUCUUCUACUUUGCUCUGCUCUCCUGAUACAUGAUGUUCAUCAUCCUCAACUUUAUCAUGGUUGACCAGCUUUUCUCUGUUCAGUUCGUCCUUCUGUUUACUCUCAUCUGCAUGGUGAACCUGAAUGUCCGGCUUCUUGACAUGAGUUGUCGGUGUUCCAAUAUCUCCAUUCUCUUCGGUGUAGAUGAAGUCAAAAAUCUGUCUCAUACUAAUCAUUAUUCCUUUCUCCCGAUCUUUAAUCAUCUUGUCAAGCCUUUUACUUCGAGUUGCUACAGCCUCGCUGAAAAAUUUACCUAUGACGGCUUCUUUGAUGUCUUCCCAGCAGGUUAGAGAUCUUGGUUGCAGCUUACUGAACAAGCUAAAAGCAUCUCCAGAUAAACAAUAGGGGAAGAUCUUGCAGAUAAUGUGGUCUGCAGAUAUUUCAUCGUGCUUGUUCGCUGAGACUAACUCCUCAAGUCUUUUGAUAAGAUCUUUUGGAUCCUCAUGAGGAAGACCGUAAAAUGGAUCCUCACUUCCCCAAUCAUACCAUUGACUUGUCAGAUUAAAGGUAUUCGUCUCAGCCACAGCAAUUACAUCAGGGAUUAUACUACCCUCUGCAUUAAUUAAUUGUCCUGUGAGGCUGCAAGGGCGACCUUCUUCGUCUCGCCAAAUACCUUUCUUGUCGAUCUUAAGUAUGAGCGCUUCAACCUUCUCUGUCUCUCCGUAAGUGGUGUUCGUCAUUGGAGGAACAGUGCCGCGAUGAAUAGUAUUUCGAUGAACAGUGUUCGGAUGAACAGUGUUCAGAUGAACAGUAUCGCGAUGAACAAUGUUCGGAUGAACAGUGUCGCGAUGAACAGUGUUCGGGUGAACAGUAUCGCGAUGAACAGUGUUCGGGUGAACAGUGUCGAGCGACAGAAUAUGAACAGUGUCGAUCGACGGAAGAUGAAUAGUGUCGACCGACAGGGGAUGAACAGUGUCGAUCGAUGGAAGAUGAAUAGUUUCGACCGACACGAGAUGAACAGUGUCGAUCAAUGGAAGAUGAAUAGUUUCGACCGACACGAGAUGAACAGUGUCGAUCGACGGGACAUGAAUAGUGUCGACCGACAUGAGAUGAACAGUGUCGAUCGACGGAAUAUGAAUAGUGUCGACCGACACGGGAUGAACAGUGUCGAUCGACGGGAUAUGAAUAGUGUCGCGAUGAAUAGUAUCACGAUGAACAGUACUAGGAUGAAUAGUAUUAUGAUGAACAGUACCUGGAUGAACAGUACUGCUUUGAAUAGUGUUUUCCGACACAUGAUGAAUAGUGUCGUUCGAUGCUUGGCUCACGCUAUCGAUCGAUGCUGCUUGGAGGGUGUCGAUCGAUACAUCCCUCGUAGACUUUAUCGUGCAUAAACCAGCAGGCUCCUUCCUUGAAGAACCUAGAAAUCCUCUCUUCAUUAUUUUCUGGUACUAAGAGUUAUGUACCUGAAAUAGAAGAAAAAAAUUUAUGAGUUUUUUCGAACAGUAACAAAACCUAGACUAAAUCUAACUAAACAAGAUCUAAUGGCGAUCAAAGCUCCCCGGCAACGGCGCCAAAUUUGAUAUCACUCAAAUUACCCUAAAGAGUGUUACUCUCAUUAAAAGAGGUCGAGUUAUAGUACUUAGGGAUCGAAUCCACAAGGAGCUAGGGAACCGAUUAGAUCAAAUAGUUAUAAGAUUAAGCUAGGCCAAUAGGUUUUAAAGCAGUAAAUAAAGCAAGUAAUAAAUAAAGCAAUAAACAAGAUGAACAAGGUGAUUGUUCAGCUUGGCAAGGAGUAGUUUGAUGGAGGGAUGGUUGCUAGAUCUAGGGUUUCUAUUCAGGUGUUCAAGAUUAUAAUAUCUAUAGAUGCCUAAUUGUUGCAUGCAUGAUAUGUUAGAGCUCAACCGCUUAACUCAGUGAUCAGCUGUCGCAUGUACCACUGGUUAACAAGUUAGAUCUCCUGUCCCAACGGUUAGUAUGCCGACAACGAGAGAGUGUCGAUCGAUGGUCUAUUAAGACGUCGACCGAUACACCUUUGCCAACGUCGAUCGAUAGUCAGUUGAGGACAUCGAUCGACGGGUUCUAGCCAGGCCUAUGCGCGAGAUGAUUUGCCCUAUUAGAAUGCUAAAUUGGCGGUUAGCCCUCUCUAACAAUCCUAAUAUGAUAGAUAGAUGUCAGGAUGGGAUAACAAGGGUGCUUGAGUAUGCAAUCCUAUGAUCAAGUUCUAGUUAAUUACUCUAAAACAAGCAAUGAAUAUAGAUCUAUCAUGAAUAUCACAACAAGGCAGAUCUAUAGUUUGGGGCUAAUCCCACAAACCUAUCUGAACCCUGGAUCUAACAUGUGGAUCUACUCAGACAUGAAAACAGAAAUCAUAGAUGAAUAGAUAUAAACUGAAAUGAAAAAGAUCAAUAAAACCAAUGGAGUUCCAGGAGGACUCUGAUAGGAGUUCCUCCCUUCUCUCCUCUCAGAGAAACAAUGGAAAUGAAAGUGUAAAAAGCGUAGAAAGCGUAGCCGUCAACAAUGGCUUAGAAAUGACAUAAAUAGGCUUUCUGGUCGUCUAAGGGUAUUUUGGUAAUUUGUGGCUUCUAAGGCUUCACGCAGUCAUAAAAUAUACAAGGCCCACGAUCUGGGAUCUCCAUCGAUUGACGUGCAGAGUGCUGCAUCGAUCGACGCGGCUUCCUCUUCUCGGCAGCUUCCUCUCGCGAGGCAAACUGACCACUCUUCAGUAAAACGGGCAUACCUUCUGCUACAGGAUGCUGAUUGACCUGAGACCGGUGGCAUUGGAAAGCUAACUCCAAAACCUUCAUCCAUAGCUAAACAUUUGACACGUCUGUGCAACUCUGCACCUCCAAAGGCUCCAAAAGACUUCAAAAUCACCAUAUUUCUCCUAAACGUCCUUGAACCAGUAAAUACUCUAAAUAGACUCCAAAACAUAAUAAUUGUAUCUUAAAACACUUCAAAACACUUAUAGACCAUGAUUAAAAAUGGGUAAAAUAUAUGUUCUAUCAACUCCCCCAGACUUACCCUUUUGCUUGUCCUCAAGCAAAACAGACGGGCAGGCUCUCUGAAAGAGGUUUUGAAAACAGCAGGGACUCACAUGAUUUAAAACUUAGAAUCAUCACCUCUACAAUAUUGCAAUCCACAUCUAAGAAGUCCUAAUCACAGAAGCACAUUAUACAAUAUCCUAGCUUAGCAACCAAAUUCACCUACCCAACAUCUUAGCAAAUCAUGUCUGACAUUCCCCUCUACCAACCUCAUUUCUUAACAUAAAUAAAUGUGUAUGCUUUACCUUGGGAGUAUCGAUCACAAAACACAUGGACUCUUACCCCAACAGGUAUCUGAGUAAACAGGUAGUCUUGUUCUGGUUUCUUUUACUCUAUAUCUCCCUUCUCUGCAUCCUUUUUAUCUCAAUUCCAAUGAACAAAGAUGCUGAUGCAGUCCAUCUUAUUCACCUUCUUUUCGAUUUUUUAUUAUUAUUAUUAUUUUUUUUUUCCUUUUUCUUUUUCUUUUCUUGACAAAGUGUAGGCGAAUAGUGGGGUCAUCGGUAAUGUACCUACCCCUCGCUUCCAACAAUGUGUGAUCAUUCUAUUAGAGUAGAAUAAUGGGAUCAUCGGUAAUGUACCUACCCCUCUAAACCGCAAGAAAUCAUCUCAAUCUUUUAUUUUAUUUUAUUAGGAUGCCAAAGGGAGGAGAUAAGGAAACCAAAAUCACUCAGACUUUACCUUUCAGACCUGAAGGAGGAAUCCGAUCCAGUGUAUACCAAGCCCCAAGACAAGCAGUUAAGUCAAAUUAGGUUGGAGGUCAGCUUCGGUUCCUUCAAACAAUCUCAGCAAGUGUGAACAUAGUUGACAGGUUGAUCCACUUUAGUAUCUUUAGUACUAUCUGCAAUCAGUAAGUCUAGAAUGGUGCUAAAGAGUGGUUAGAUAACA
rnacentral:lncRNA from 1 species